rnacentral:rRNA from 1 species
AUUCCAGCUCCAAUAGCGUAUAUUUAAGUUGUUGCAGUUAAAAAGCUCGUAGUUGGAUUUCGGGUGGGUACCGCCGGUCUCCCACUGGGUAUGUACUGGCGUGGCCCGCCUUGCUGUCGGGGACGAUCUCCUGGGCUUUACUGUCCGGGAAUCGGAGUCGACGAUGUUACUUUGAGUAAAUUAGAGUGUUCAAAGCAAGCCUACGCUCUGAAUAUAAUAGCAUGGGAUAACGCGACAGGACUCUGGCCUAUCGUGUUGGUCUGUAGGACCGGAGUAAUGAUUAAGAGGGACAGUCGGGGGCAUUCGUAUUCCAUUGUCGGAGGUGAAAUUCUUGGAUUUAUGGAAGACGAACAUCUGCGAAAGCAUUUGUCAAGGAUGUUUUCAUUG